GGGAAACGAUGUGGGAAGGCACAGACAGCCAGGAUGUUGGCUUAGAAGCAGCCAUCAUUUAAAGAAAGCGUAAUAGCUCACUGGUCGAGUCGGCCUGCGCGGAAGAUGUAACGGGGCUAAACCAUGCACCGAAGCUGCGGCAGCGACACUAUGUGUUGUUGGGUAGGGGAGCGUUCUGUAAGCCUGCGAAGGUGACCUGUGAGGGUUGCUGGAGGUAUCAGAAGUGCGAAUGCUGACAUAAGUAACGAUAAAGCGGGUGAAAAGCCCGCUCGCCGGAAGACCAAGGGUUCCUGUCCAACGUUAAUCG
rnacentral:rRNA from 1 species